UGGCUUUGACCUAGAUCGGAUGCUUUUCCGAGUUUUUCGUCAUGAUAUUUGAGUAUAUUUUCUUUACCCGAACAUUCUAAGUGGUUUUCUGCUGAUUUUGGGUGGCUUCUAGGGUUUCUCGUGGUUUAACCUACGGUUCUACUGCUUUCCGGUGGCUCGAUUCUCACUCAGUGGACGUUUUGGGUGCCUCUCCGACGUUCCUGACCACAUUUCCAGUAACGAUUUCCAAGGUUACACCUAGGGUUUUAUACCUAGGGUUUCUCUGUUGUUUCAAGGCCGAUCUUCUCCGGUCGCGAAGAGGAGGGUAACUCUGUCCUUAUCUUCGGUAUUGUAUGUGAUUAUCUGACUCUGUGUAUGUGAGCAUCUGGUGUUGUCUGUGAAUACCUGAUUUGGUUAUACUCUGUUUGUUGGUUAUUGUGUGUGAAUA
rnacentral:lncRNA from 1 species